AGAACGACUGCUGCCCACCUUCUGCCCGGAAUUAACCAGGCUCCUUGGAGAAAUGGCCGGUUCCAGGCGUGGAGCAGGAAAAGUACAAGUUCUUCUAGGAAGCUGUUUUAUCCAAUAAGAUAGAUUGAAGUUUUCAGCUUGGAAGAGGGAGCAAGGUGACCAAGCCACAGAGACGCCAGGGUGGAAACGAGCGGGGGUGGAGCCCCGGCCGGGCCCUAGAUGGAGCCGGGUUCCAGGAGGAGAGCGCAUUUAUGAGCCUGUGAGAUGCCCGCGAGCGCCUGGGCCCAGAGGGGGAAGCAGGGACAGAAUCACGGCAGCAGUCAGUGACGAUCCAGUCCUGGCCGCUUGGCCGACUGUUGUGGGCUUGGUGUUGGGCUUCCUGGACUGUUUGCUGGAGACACAGCCUGACCUCAGCAGGACCCUGGGCAGAUGGGACGCAUUCUUCUCUGCUCCUAGACCCACUCAUCUUCACCAAAGACGUUCAUUCAAUUUGCAGAAUGAAUACACGUCUUUAGGACCUAUCUUCCCUAAAGCCCUUCUUAUCAGCAAAAUUACUGUCUAUCUGUGUCAGCCAUGCCUUCCUCCUGCAAGGGAAUUCCAUAGGUGUCACACCCGUGAAUGCCACUUCCUUGAUGAGUUCCAGACCCUGGACUUUCCAGGAGACUCUCAUUUUUAAUGAACAAGGAUCCUUCAGAAAGACUCAGGGAAGUGACAGGCAGAAUUGCUUUGUGGGUUGAUUCAUUUACAUUUAUUCAAUCAACCAAUAGUGAUUAAGUACCUAUUCUGUGAGAGGUUCUGAACGCACAUGAGUAAGACGGCGUGCCCUGUCCCCAGGGGCUCUCAGUCCAGCUGGACACACGGUCACGAGGCCACAGCCGCGGUGAGAGGUGUGAUCGGGCUCUCCCAGCACAGAUAAGCACUUACCUCUCUGGACAUUUUAUUUCUCAUGGCUCAUGUACCGUAUUUCAUUCUUAUGAAGACAGUGGAAACACCGCGCAAAGCUCACUCCCUCCUAUUUCUCAUUUCUCAGCAUCUGGCACUUAUGCCCAAUACGUGUUUGUUGAAUGAAUGAAGGAAAGAAUGAAUGAAGGCUAGCUUGAGGAGCCCAGCUGUGCCUCCAAGUCCUUCUCUGUCCCUGCGGGGCGAGGACUCAGGCCAAACACUGGGGCUGGGACUCCCGCCCAGCAGCCGAGCAGACAUGGAGACUGACAGCUCGCCGCUUGGUGCCCCGGACGUGCCUGCUGCCGCACGUCUGCAAGAUGUUAUGUUUAUGCCGAAGCUACCGGCGCCGACUGGCACCUUCAGUGGAGCUGCUCCCGGUCCACGGGUAACCUGACCCCGCAGGAUCCUAUCUGGAGAUUUUUAUUGUGUUUAGAGAUUUGGCUGGGAACAUUCCCACAGAGAUAGACAGAUUUAUGUUCUUGAGAAUUUUUAAUGUCAUUGGAAAAUUCUUACUACAUGACAUUUAACGAAAAAGGAUGGAUGAAAAAUUUGAAUGGAGGGUAUAAUUUUUUUAAAAGGCAGAGAAAAGAGUGAACAGAAAAAUGCUUACACCCUUAAACAGAAAUUCAAAAUGAGGCUUCCCCAAAUGCACUGAAUGUUUUGUGUGUCGGUUUCCUAUCGCCUCUGUGACAAAUUACCACAAACAGUGUCUUAUGAGGACACAGUUAUCUUACCAUCUGGAGUCAGGGGUCUGGAGUGAGUCUCCCUGGCCUAAAAUCAAGGCGUUGGCAGGGCUAUGUUCCUUCAGGAGGCCAGGGUGGGGUCUGUUCCUGCCUUUCCCAGCUUCCAGAGCUGCUGCUUUGCCCGGCCCCGGCCCCUCUGUCUUCAGCCGGUGCUGCCCUCUCUCUGGUUUAAGGCCCCUUGUGAUCACGCUGGGCCCACGCACAUUAUCUAGAAUAAUCUUCUCAUUUUAAGGUCAGCUGUUAACAAAUGAAGUUUCAGGGACUUCCCUCGUGGUCCAGUGGUAAAGAAUCUGCCUUACAAUGCAGGGCACGCAGGUUCGAUCCCUCGUCAGGGAACGGGGAUCCUUCAUGCUGCGGGGCAACUAAGCCCCACGCCAUAACUACUGAGCUUGCGUGCACCCCAACUAGAGAGCCCACGUGCUCUGGAACCUGUGCGCCACAAUUGCAGAGCCCAGGCACCCUGGAGCCUGUGCACCACAACUAGAGAGAAGUCCGAGCGCUGCAAUGAAAGAUCCUGCAUGCCUCAGCGAAGAUCCUGCGUGCCGCAACUAAGAAGCAACACAGCCAAAUAAAUUAAAUAAUAAAUAAAUCUUUAAAAACAAACAAAAAAAAAACCCCUGCAAUUUCAACUGCAACGUGAAUUCUCCUUUGACCUAACAUAUUCGUAGGUUCUGGGGAUCAGGAUGUGGACAUCUUUGGGGGCCAUGAUUCUGCUGACCACAUGGCGAGUGUUGGGACUCAAUAUUAGUUUUACUUUAUUUUGGUUUUUCCCAGUGUUGUUUAGAUUCUUCUUUUUUUUAAUGAACAUAUAUAAUUUUUAGAAUAAAGAUGUUUGUUUUACUUUUCUUAUAAUUCUUGGAAAAAAAUCUUUGUAUGAACUGGAUUUAAAUGUCUGCAUCACAUUUCAGUGUACGGAUGUCCAUUUGAGGAUUUUAUGAAUGGUAUUCAGGUAGGAAGGUCUUCUCACGUGUGUAGUUCAGCCUUGUCCCUGCAGUGAAGUUCUGGAGAAGGACGUUGAUGUCACUACUCAGCUCUGCACUGUCACCACGAAGCAGCACGGUGGGUCACGGCCCCUUAGGGGCACCUUGUCACUUCCACACCUGCUGUUGUUAAGGGGGGGGAGGAGGUCUCGCUAAGUCCCAACUCUCAACUUUCUCAUCGAGACACUGAACUGGGUGCUGUGCACCCCGCAAAUGUUUGGCCUCUGCCUUGGGUGGGCCCCAGGCUAUGGCGCCCAUCCUGGAGGGGGUCCCCCCUGGGGUCGUGAUGUGGACUAGAUUUAGGGACUGGGGGUGAGCACGAGCUCGCUCCCCCAGUUGUCUGGGUUCUGGACCGUCCUCCUCAGCCUCUUCAGACUGCCCUUCGGCCCUCGGUGAGCACGGGGCUGGGCCGCCAUGUGACACACCCUGCUUCCCGCUCACAUGCUGGUCUCUGUGGUCCCUGGGUCUCCACGAAGGGUUCAGAACACGCUCCCCCCUCCCACUCCCACCAAACACACCACGUUGGCAUCUUGAUUGCUCUGGGCCAAGGUACCUGAGAAGCAGCAGUUACAGGAGUGGCUCUCUGGCCUCUCUCUACCUGAAAGCAGGGCAUGAACUUUCCCGUGGAGAAGAAGCCCCCCCCCUGCACCAGGGAGAGCAGAACAUUCUUAUCACUGGAGAAGGGGGUCGACGCAGAAAGGGAUCUGGGCAAGCCCAGUAACAUGACCCUGAUCUCCUGUUGGGGCUUGUAUGUUUCCUAGUCUCUGUGCCACAGCUUACCUCGUCACAGCGCCAGGACUUAUCAUAUCUUUGUUUAAGAAGUGUACAAGCUCUGGAUCCUAACUGCUUCUUCAGUCUCCAUUUUCCUUAUGAAGUCUCC